GCUCUUAGAAAGGGCAAGAGCAGCCUGGAGGAAGCUGUGCUCCCAAUCCCACCGAGUACAGCAGUGAUGUUGUCACUGCUGGUUGUCAUUUGAAUGUCACUGUGCCACGGGAAGAGACACUCCACGGAAAGGAUCUGAAUUCUCCUGAGCAGCAGCACCUGAGACUUCACAUCACAUCUCGCUCCUCAUCCACCAAAGUGCUCCUGCAGGCAGCAAAUUGGCACUUUGCAAGCGAAUACAGAAGGUGAAAUGUGGAAGGUGUCAGCAAAAGGCACUUGAGUGAGCAAUUCAGAGCUGUGGGAUG